AUGGACAUCGACGGGGAGCCUUUGUUCGAGAACGAGCUCGCCAACCAAGCCGGUGCGAAGCCGAAGCGCAAGAGCAAGCGGGCGAAGGCAUACAUGUCGUCCGAGGACAAACACCUUUGCGAGUGCUGGAGGGACAUUGGGUAAGACCCCAAGGUCGACGUCGAACAAAAGGCAUCAACCUUUUGGCUUCAUGUUCAUCGUGAGUACCAUGAACGCAAGAAGUUUGCGCCGUAUCAAAUGCACAGCAAGCGUGGGUGGGUGUCCCUCUCAAAGCGAUGGAGGGUGAUACAACAAGAGUGCAAAAAGUUUUAUGCCACCCUUGAGAGCAUCAAGGCAUGCCGGUGA
rnacentral:rRNA from 1 species